rnacentral:rRNA from 1 species
CGAUUAAAGUAAUGUGCAGUCUAACCUGCCCCCUGAGAGUUUUAAAGGGCCGCGGUAUUUGGACCGUGCUAAGGUAGCAUAAUAAAUAGUCUUUUAAUUGAAGUCUAGUAUGAAUGGUUGGACAUGAAGUAAGCUGUUUUAGUGUUGGUUCUUGAAUUUUACUUUUAAGUGAAAAGGCUUAAAUUAAAUGGUGGGACGAUAAGACCCUAUAAAGCUUUACGCUUUACUCUUUAGUUGUAAGAGUUAAGGUUUCUUAUUCUCAUUGAAUAAAGCGUUUCGUUGGGGUGACGGGAAUAUAAAAAAUAGAAUAACUGUUUUUGUUUGAAAAAAUAUGUUUUUAUAGGUGAGUUGAUCCUUUGAUAAAGAUUAUAAGAUUUAAGUUACUUUAGGGAUAACAGCGUAAUUUAUCUUGAGAGUUCAUAUCGACAGAUAUAGUUGCGACCUCGAUGUUGAAUUAAAAUACCCCCAAGGUGUAGCAGUUUUGGAGGUGGGUCUGUUCGACCUUUAAAAU